GGCCUGGUGGUGAAAUGUAUCACACCUACUCUGCCUAUCUUCCCCACAGUACUCGGGUUUUGUAGGAGGUUCCUGGUUCAAACCCGGGUCAGGUCA